CGCGUCGGCCGGCGGGGGCUGCGGGGACGCGCCCGGGCACCUCGCGGACGCGGCGGAGGCCGGCGGCGCCGGGAGAGAGAGAGAGAGAGGGAGAACGGGCGAGCGGCGCGCGUCAGCCCAGCUGGGCGCGAGAGGCCAAAGUGGCCGGGUGGCGGUAGCGGGCUCCCAACUUGCAGGCUCCGGUCCCCUGCCCCCAUCGAGCGGCCUCCCGCCGAGCCCCCGCGGACCCGCCCCCCCGGGCUCGCUCCGGGCGGGGCGCGAACCCGCAGCCCGCGCGGCCGCUCAACUUCUCAGGGCCUAGGCGGCGGCGGCAGCGGCAGCAGCAGCAGCGGCGGCGGCGACAGCAAGCGCGGUGGCCGAGUCUGAGCCUCCACCGCAACCGGUGGCUCCGGCCUCUCAGGCGCUUCGCCUGGGGAGGCACCGCCGCCCGACCCCCUGCGCGGAUCUGGGGAGCGUCCUGAGGCCGCUCGGCAGACAAGAUUAGACCUCAGACUUGCCAUGUAACAAAGGAUGACUUUAGAACUUUUGCUCUUCCUGUCUCCAUCUCCCAAGUGCUUGGAUUCUAGAUCCGUGGAUGCCACUGGACAGAAACUUGACGCUUCAGAUCAUCUUGGUAACAUAGCAGAGCCCUCGGCCUACUCAUUACUUGGGGGAGAGGUAGCCCCUGUGCUGUGGAGAUGAGCGGGGAGCAGCAGCUUGAUGCAGAUCUUGGGUCUGGUGUAGAAGUAGAAGAAUUCAGCUGGGAAGAUUAUCUAGAAGAGACAGGCUCCACCACAGUUCCCUACGCAUCGUUUAAACAUGUGGAUAUACGUUUGCAAAAUGGAUUUGCUCCUGGGAUGAAGCUGGAGGUAGCUCUGAAAAAUGACCCUGAGACUUAUUGGGUUGCCACCAUCAUCACCGCCUGUGAGCAGUUGCUCCUGCUUCGUUAUGAAGGCUAUGGGGAAGACCGAAAAGCAGACUUCUGGUGUGACAUCAGGAAAGCUGGCCUCUACCCCAUUGGGUGGUGUCAGCAGAACAAGAAGACCCUCGAAGCUCCAGAAGGCAUCAGAGAUAAAGUGUCUGAUUGGAAUGCAUUCCUACAGCAGACCCUGAUAGGAGCCUGUGGUCCUCCCGUGUCUCUGCUAGAGGGCCUCCGUAAUGGAAGGAAUCCUUUAGAUCUCAUUGCUCCAGGGUCCAAACUAGAAUGCCAGGAUUUUCGGGACUCUUUAAGCACUUGGCUUGUUACUGUUGUGGAGAACAUUGGGGGACGGUUGAAGCUGCGGUAUGAAGGCCUUGAGAGCCGUGACGGUUUUGAACACUGGUUGUAUUACUUAGAUCCAUUUCUUCAUCACAUUGGUUGGGCUGCUCAGCAAGGAUGUGACCUUCAGCCCCCAUUAGCCAUCAAACAUCUGAAGAGUGAAGCUGACUGGCAAGAGAUUUUGGCCAAAGUGAAAGAGGAAGAGCCAUUACCCUCUUACUUAUUUAAGGAUAAGCAAGUUAUUGGAACCCAUGAAUUUUCUAUAAACAUGAAGUUGGAAGCUGUGGACCCGUGGUCUCCUUUUGGGAUUUCUCCUGCAACGAUUGCUAAGGUGUUUGAUGAUAAGUACUUUCUAGUGGAAAUGGAUGACCUUCGGCCAGAAGACCAUACAAGGCGAUCAUUUGUGUGCCAUGCUAACAGUCCUGGUAUCUUUCCUGUGCAGUGGAGUCUAAAGAAUGGUUUACAUAUCAAUCCUCCUCCAGGCUUCCGGAGCCAGGACUUUGACUGGGCCGACUACCUCAAGCAGUGUGGGGCUGAAGCUGCUCCCCAGAAGUGCUUCCCGCAGAAAAUAAAUCUCACUUUCUGUAGGGAAGGGAAAGACACAAUUACCCUGAGUCAAUUUCUGAGCACCAGUUUAAGGAGAACAUGAAACUGGAGGCAGUGAACCCUCUUUUCCCUGAAGAAGUGUGCAUUGCCACCGUUACUGCAGUGAGAGGCUCGUACCUGUGGCUCCAGCUAGAAGGUUCUAAGAAGCCUGUACCCGAAUUUAUUGUAAGUGCAGAGUCGAUGAAUAUAUUUCCUUUGGGCUGGUGUGAAACCAAUGGCCAUCCUCUCAGUACUCCUCGCCGGGCACGAGGGCAUAAACUGAGGAAAAUCGCAGUGGUUCAACCAGAAAAACAAAUACUGUCUUCAAGAACUGUCCACGAGGGCCUGAAGAAUCAGCUGAACUCUACCCACUCAGUGAUGAUCAAUGGAAAAUACUGUUGUCCAAAGAUAUACUUCAACCACCGUUGCUUCUCAGGGCCAUAUCUUAAUAAAGGAAGAAUUGCUGAGCUGCCUCAAUGUGUGGGACCUGGGAACUGCGUUCUGGUACUUAGAGAGGUUCUUACUUUGCUUAUCAACGCAGCAUACAAACCCAGCCGCGUCCUCCGUGAGCUCCAGCUGGACAAAGACUCUGUGUGGCACGGAUGUGGGGAAGUCCUAAAGGCCAAAUAUAAAGGAAAGAGUUACCGAGCUACUGUUGAGAUAGUGAGAACAGCAGACCGAGUGACUGAAUUCUGCCGGCAAACAUGCAUCAAGCUGGAAUGUUGUCCCAACCUCUUUGGUCCACGCAUGGUUCUGGAUACAUGUUCUGAGAAUUGCUCUGUCCUUACAAAGACCAAAUACACGCACUAUUAUGGAAAGAAGAAAAAUAAGAGAAUUGGGAGGCCACCCGGUGGGCAUAGUAAUUUAUCUUGUGCCCUGAAAAAAAGCAGUAAGAGGAGAAAAAGGCGGAAGAAUAUUUUUGUUCAUAAGAAGAAGCGUUCUUCUGCAUCUGUUGACAAUACCCCGGUGGGCUCACCCCAGGGAAGUGGGGGUGAAGAUGAGGAGGAUGCAGAUGAUGGAGACGAAGACUCCCUGACUGAGGGCAGUACAUCCGAGCAGCAGGAGGAGUUGCAGGAGGAGUCUGAGGUGUCAGAGAAAAAAUCUAGCUCCUCGUCUCCCACCCAGAGUGAGACGCCCACCCCCUUACCCCCAGACACGCAGACCAACAAGAGAGAUGCCCAGACCUCCUCCGUCUCAGACGAUGAAAACAAGCCUCCUUCACCAAAGGAAAUAAGGAUUGAAGUUGAUGAAAGGCUUCACCUGGACAGUAACCCACUGAAGUGGAGUGUGGCCGAUGUCGUGCGGUUCAUCAGGUCCACUGACUGUGCUCCGUUGGCAAGAAUAUUCCUUGAUCAGGAAAUCGACGGGCAGGCCCUUUUGCUCCUUACCCUUCCCACUGUUCAAGAGUGCAUGGACUUAAAGUUGGGCCCCGCCAUCAAGCUUUGCCAUCACAUAGAGAGAAUCAAGUUUGCUUUUUAUGAGCAGUUUGCCAACUGAGAAGGACGAGCGACUGAGCUGGGUCUUUGAAGCACAGUGCAGCAAACCCUUCGCCCUGCUCUGCAGGUGACUGCAGGAGUCCUGGGCUGUCCUGUCGGCCUGCAAGUGGUGGCUUGCUAUCUUUGCACUUUCAGGGAAGGAGGACCCACACUGAGAAAGCAAAAACAGCACAAAAAUGGCUCUCUUACAGUGGAAAUAUGGACUUUUGUUUAGAAGAUUCCAGUUUAAAAAAAGUUGUGAGAAAACCGUAAAAGUCUGAAUUACCAUUAAUGGGACCUGAAAACAAAGAAUGAUGGUGACAGCUGGACAGCACCAAUUUGGUUAUUUUCAUUCUGUUCCUUCCCUCUGUAGAUUGGACUCUGUUCUCUGCUUUCUCUUUCUUGAAAAGAGAGGACAUAGCUUUAAGUCAGCACUGGUUGGGACUGUGCCUAAGGCACAUCAGUGCUUCAUUGUUGUGUUUUUAAGCUUUUUUAAAUUAAAGCAGUUCAUUUGGGGAUAAUUAAGUGGCUCUAGGGUUUUGAAUGUAUAGUCACACUUUGAUCCAUUUUAAAUCUAUUCUUAGGAGUUCCUUGGUUUACUACCUCUGUUGAUGACUGCGCUUACAGCCAUGAGUGACAUUUUUUUGUAUGAUGCCAUUUUUAAGCUGAAUGCUAAAACUAUGACAGAAAUUAGAGAAGGCACUGCCUGCUUUCUUAAAGAUAUCAUGCCGGCACUUACACCAUCAGUCCCUUAACCAAUUUGUCCUAAGAAUUCUACUGUUGUGUCCUCCAUCAUGACCCGGUUUUGGUCACCAUUGUUAAGUGGCUUUACAAAGACCAAUGGGUAAUUACUCUCUCCCUGUUAGUUCUGAAAAGUAUUUAAGUGGCUUUAUUUUAUGUUUAUUCUUCUGUUAGAGUUGUUUAACUACCUCUGUUUUAUUUCUGGAGUUUCUGCUCUCAGUGAAAAAUCAGUACGUGUUCUUUGGACCCACUGUCAAGCCCAUUUUUCUGGUUUUCUAGGUAUGUCCAGGUAGACACAUAGCACAGAAAUGUAUCUUUGGGGAUGGCACAAAGUAUGAAGUUCCUUAAUAGUGUCCUCGGUUAUGAGUACUGAGAGGUAGUUGAGUCUAUGACAAGCUACCCCAAAUGUCCCAGAUCUUAUCCUUCUGGAAAGCUAAGCAGGGCCUGGUUGGUACUUGGAUGGGAGAGGUGGUUAAGGAGUCUGGAUAUCUCUGUCUAGCCGCAUUUAUGCCUGUCUUCAGUUAAACCAACUUAAAUUGAAUGUAAUUACAGUCUGAAGAUUCCCACUCAGUAGCUCAUUCUUUUGAAGUUUUUUCUUUUUCUUUCUUUUUUUUUUUUUAAAUUAAACUCAAGUUGACAUGAAGUUCCAGGUGAAUUUUCACUUUCAAUGGCAUUGUUAGCUACUAUAGAAGAACAGCACUUGCUCUGCCACAGCUGUGAGUAAGGAAAGAUGUGUGUACACAGUUGCCUCUUUUGCUGUUUUCCUUGUUGAUUAUUUAUUUAUUUAUUUAUUUUUGAUUACCCUAAUUCCUACAGAUUUAUACCCUAAGCAUUUUUCCUCAAGAAUUGAAAAUGUUUUAAAACUGCAAACUGAGUAACUUCUGAACAAGUAUACAAAUAUAAGGUAAUAUUAUUACAAAUUUAAAUUGUGAAUUUUUUUUUCUUUUCUCAACUCAACCCCCACCUGUUUUUAUGGACACUGGGAAAGUCUGUAGUCUGAAUUCUCUUCUUCAUUGGAUAACCAUCUAACGAAGUCUGAAAGCAGUAGCUCUUCAUGUAGGGACCAACAGGAGUAUCUGGGAGGAAGCUCCAUUUACGUAAUGGUUCAUUUAUUUGAGCUUACUUAGAGAUCCAUCUUCUAAACAUGUGAUUCUUUCAUGCCAUGAAGAGAAGCAGGCGUGAUACUAGGAAACGGUAUUGGCAGACUGACAAGCCGUGGCUCUCUUCAUAGAAUCUCCUGAGACUGCAGGAGUUGAGUCACCGAUACAAAGGGAGUCUUGUGAGGACAUAAAACCUAUGCCUGUAGGAUCUUACAUUGUUACCUUAGUAAAAUGAAAGGUGACAGCAGUGGCUGUAACUUACUUUCUUCUUGACUCAGAUGACAGAAUGUAGAACUGUCAGAGUUGGCAGGGAUCGUGCCUGAAAGGGGAAGCACAUGACCGCCCCGCCCAAGAGGGGCUGGGGGGGGGGGCAGCCAUAACUCUUCAGUCUCUGCUUUCUCCUAUAGGAAGACCAGCCGUGAGUUAGACAAGAGGGGGCUUCCCUAAAUAUUUCUUGGCACUCUUAUUGGGAUGCAGUGUACUUGGCAGUCACAUCAAAGAAUUAUCUUCCCCAUCCCUUCUCACAGUAAGAGGAUAAUUCUAUGAGAAUUUUGCAGAGGACUUUUUUAAAGUAUAAAAUUGUAAUCCCAGACUGGGUGUGGUGAUAUAUAUACCUUUGAUCCCAGUGCUUGGGAAGUGGAAACGAGGCUCACAGUGAAUUCUAGGCCGGCCUGGGUUAUAUGAGACCCUGCCCUUUUUAAAAACUGUUUUUAUUUCAUGUAUCAAAGAGGCAGGGGUUAGGCUGGGUAGCAGUUCCGAUGCUGGGAUGGUUUAAGUUCGAUAAUAGCUUGCAUUGUUGGGGUAAGUGGCUUAUGUUGCUCAUUUGUAUGUGAAGUCUGUUUCUGAGACAGCCAGCCUCAAGCUUUUUAAAGGUAUGCUGUGAGGAGAGUGUGUGGAGUUCACCUGCAGCUGUCCUCAUAGCUUGCCUGCAAUCAAAUUUUUUAUGAUCCAUCUUUAACUUGAGUUGACAAACUUAGAAAUACAUGAAUGGACUAUACUGUCCUCCCAGACUUGGAAACUUAACUGACCAAAACUAGACUUUACAGCUAUAUUGGUCUUCUAGGGAAACCUUCAACUUUAUGUACAGAUUGGCUCUGAAAUUUUGAUCAUAUCUGCUGAUUUCCAUUGUGAAACAUCUUCAUCCUUUUCAAAUACAGGGAAUACAUUAAUAGAGCCUUUUAAUUACACCUUUAGCCUUUCUUUAACAAUUUAUACAGCUCCCUGUUUUUAUAAUACAGGUAUAGGAAGGGUACUGGCCAAGCUCUGGAAAUGAAGAUCUUGGUAAAUGUUUAUUAUUGUAUUUAAAAGAGGCAGACAUAGAAAACCAGUUUAGAGUUUGACCUUUGUAUGUCUCUUUGAGAAAUAAAAGUAUUUUCACUGAGGGAAAGGGCAUUAGACCAAAGUUUCCUGAAGACUUGAAUACAUUUCACAUGCUCUUUAGAACCACUUUAGUUACUGAUGUGAUGCCUGAAUAAGGCAAAUAGGAUGAAAACAUCCCACUCCUCUCAGCCCAACAUUGUUUCCAAGGGACACAGAACAUCGGGGGAGGGGGGAGUCUAAAUGAAAGGUAAUAGCAGUAUAACAACUUGUAAAAUCAUGAAAACUGUCACUGGGACUUACUCUUAGUUGGCACCUCUCACCAGAGCUUGUCCAGUUUGAGUGAUUGCCAACAGUGCUGGGAGAGUCGUUAGACUGGAAAUAACAGAGUGUGAACUUGCCUUACAUACUGGGCAUAUUCCAUGUGUGUGGAAAACCACCCGAGUUCCCAAGUGUUCUUAUGAAGUGAAGUAGAGAACUUGGGCAGACAAGAUGCUCCCUUUAUAAAUUUGGAUGUCUUUGGUCCUGGGAUCUUUGUAAGUUCUGUGUCUUAUGACCAUGAUGCUGGCUCAGAAACUCUGUAAGGACAGAGCCUCCUGUACAAACAAGAAAUAAUAGUCACUUUCCUGCUAUUGGUUUUAUUUACUUUAAAUGUUUUACUCAUGAACUUCGAUGAUUGCUUUGUAUGAGAAUGUAUGUACUUGGGGAAUUUGAAUUUAUUCUAAUAAGCUACCUAUUGACCUGGAGUUUUGUUGUAAGAACUCUAAACUCAAAGUCCAGUCCAAAUGGAUCUGGUUCCAGGUGCACUCUUUUGGGGUUGUUUUCCUUACUGCUUGUCUUCAGCCACAUGGGUGACUUUGCUCUGGGAACGGCCUUAGGCACACAGGUAGUGGGUGUCAAUGCAGCACAUGCUGAUUUUCUUGCCGCUGUGUUUAAGAAAUCAAAACUUUCUAAGAACCAGCAAAACCGGGAUGAAGGUUUGUAGGGGAGGUUGGGGGAUUAAAAAAAAGCAGGUCUAAAACUCUCAUAAUGCUUUUUUCUGACAAGUCUGGUGUGGUAGGUACCUACCAUGGUGAAGUGUUGUGAAAAAAAGACAAGCAACAGAUUGACCAGACGGUUGUCACUACCAGCAGUAAAGUGCAGAGUGGAGCCACAGGGAAGCAAGGAAGGAAGAAAGGGAGGGAGGGAACUUGUGUGAGAGGGGAACUGCUCUCAAGUGGAAACUCAGGCAGAAGGGUUCCUAGAUGGCUCAUUCUGUCUAUGUCUAGCUCAAGUCACAAUUAUUAGCAGAGGCUGAGAAGAAGCAGACAGUCUCUAGUCCUUUGUGAGAAUCUCUGAGGUUUUAACUGCUCACAUUUUCCUCCCACCUUCCUCCUUUUUUCCCCCUAAAGACAAUCAGGGGCUUGCCAGGAUGGGACUCCAGGCUGCUUCCAGCACCAUCCUUAGCCCUCUCUCCAGUACCCUCUCUUUGGAAGUAAUGCACUUUGUUUAAUGUAUUUUGCCUUUAAAAAAAAACAAAAGAAACAAAAAACAAGUUGCUUGUUUGGAACAAAAUGAGAUGCUUUCGGCACUGUAUCAUUCCUGCUUGCUGUUUUUCCUCUUAAUUUACAAUUUUAUGCAUUAAAGACAAAGUAUUCUUAAGGAGAAAUAUGCACAAGAAUACCUAUUAAAAUAACUCCCAUCAAGUUUGAUGGUAUAAUUUUUAAGGAUUAAAAACAGAACAAAAAUA